AUCUACAGCCAUGCCACCCUGAACAAGACCGAUCCUGUCUGAUCUUGGAAGCUAAGCAGGGUCGGACCUGGUUAGUACUUGGAUGGGAGACCACCUAGGAAGACAAGGUGCUGUAGGCG
rnacentral:rRNA from 1 species